UCUCUCCCUAGGCUUCCCCCACUCACUCUCUCCUUCUAUCUCCACGCUCUCUCUGAGAGAGGUCAAAUAUUUUGCCCCUUUCCCUCUUUUCAAACCAAAACCCCCACUCUCUCUCUCUCUCUCUCUCUCUCUCUCUCUCUCUCUGUGAACAAUGUUGGGUUGGCUCUCUCUGGUUUCAAAUCCCAACAUAUACCCCUGAAAAAGCCACAAAUUUCUGUUUCCAAUCUCUCUUCUGUUUCUUGUCUCCUUCUUAGCUCGUUUACCUUCGAGAAGUUUUUGAAUUUUGGAGCCAUGGAAGGUCCUGCGUACAAUCCUCGAACCGUCGAAGAGGUUUUUAGAGAUUUCAAAGGACGAAGAGCCGGCAUGAUCAAAGCUCUCACUGCCGACGUUGAAGAAUUCUUUCAGCAGUGCGAUCCUGAGAAAGAGAAUCUGUGCCUGUAUGGAUUUCCUAGCGAGCAGUGGGAAGUCAAUUUACCUGCAGAAGAGGUGCCUCCAGAGCUUCCUGAGCCUGCGUUGGGUAUUAACUUUGCAAGAGAUGGAAUGCAGGAAAGGGACUGGUUAUCUUUGGUUGCGGUCCAUAGUGAUGCAUGGCUACUUGCUGUUGCAUUUUAUUUUGGUGCUAGAUUUGGAUUUGAUAAAAAUGAUAGGGGCCGUCGCUUGAUGCGAUGGUAUAAAGCUUGGGGUGCCAGCAUGAAGACGCAAGCUGCCACUUUGUGCAAAAAUACCAAAGGUUUGGACAAUCUCAAAUCCACCUCUCCUGGGACCCUGCAAAAGCAGGACUUAUAUUGGGUUUACAGCCCCUUAGUCUUUCCACUUCAAUGCCAUGUACCAAGCGAGAACCCUGAAUCCCAUAUAUUAGCGACUUCACCAGUUCCUACCAAUUGGUUCUGGACCUGUGCUUUCUGCAAAGCCUGUGUUUUGUGGUAUUUGCAGUUACAUUCUGACAUCAAGGAUGCAUUUUUCUAUUCUUCAAAAUAUGAUUCUUGAAGCUUUUCUUGGCUUUACAUCCUAAAUUAAAUGUGCAUAAUUGCUGCGGAAUGGGGGCCCAUUAAUUUUACCUUGCUAAAGAAAGAGCUGACUAUGCAUUAUUUAAAGACUGGUAUCUGAUACCAGAUCGGCGGCCACCGUUCCAGCCCAAUUUCCACAAGUAUCUGCUGGAACCAGACAAUAUUGGAUGGAUUGGUGGCUGCUGAACCCUAUAUAGAAUUGGGCGAUUGGCUGAUCUGAUCCUGAUCCUUGAAACCAUGGUGACAUGUAUAUGUUUGGGUGGAAGUGAUGAGCAUUAAUAGGUAGCAGAAACUUGCAAAUUGUUCUAUUGGUCUUUGGAUUAUGAUAUAAUGUGUCUGUGGUUGAUAGCAUUUAUUUUUCUUUGGUGAAGGCGUGAAGCUGUGGACAUGUUUCUUCACUCCUUUUGUUGCUAAUGUUAUGAAAGGCUGGGCAUUGAAGCUAGUGUUGGAAUGUUGAGCGACAUCACCUUAGAUGGAUGAUCUCAACAAUUUAAGUUUAUCUUUGAAAAGCAGAAAUAUGGAAAGAAGCUGUGAAAGAAUAGUAAAUCAAGCUUCCUUCUUUUCUUUUUUUUGUUUGGGGGGGUGUUUGGGGGUGCAAAAAGAUGGGUGUAAUAUGUAAAUGGAUUGGCUUCAAUGAAAAAUAAUAUAGUGUGGGACUGCCAACCAUCUUCGGUGUUGAUGGUCCAGGACCCUGUACAACUAAGACGUGGUAAAGGGUUAAGUGGUGCUGAGGGCUAUUAAUGAGGCUUUAGGAUUCAUUUUUGGGAAUCAGUUGAAUGGUAGCUAUACUUGGAAAUGUAAACUAUGUUUUAAAUGAGAGUAAUGAAUAAGGUUAGUAGGGUUGUAAAAUGGCCUUUACAGCUUAGGUGACCAAAACAUAAGAUCGAUAAAAUAGUAGGGAAGAACUCAUAUUAAGGAAUAAGAAGAGGGAUGAUGAAUAGAUGAGAGGAAAGGAGAGGGAGAAGAUAAGAAUUCAGGAGAUGGAGCAAUUGAUAAUAUAAUGUGAAAAUAGCCUAUAGAUUACCCUUUUACUUUGCUGGCCUUGUUCCUUAUCCUCCCGUCUUUUGUUUGGAAUAUUCAUCCAUCAAGUGUUGAAGAAGAAUAUGGACAUUAGGACCUGAAGAUGCUAUGGUCUGCGGUCUGCUCCCCACCUUCCUCCUCGCAUGAUCUAAUGAAAACGCCUCUUUGGUAUGAUAAAUGAUCUCCCAACAAUAUUUGAGGUUGUGACAGGAACUGCAAAGAAACAAGUAAAGGAGAAGUCUUCGGUUUCCAAUCAUAGCAGCAACAAAUCCAAACCAAAC